GCAUUUCCCACCCUCGUCUUAUACUCGAGUCAAUAAUUUUUUCCAGUUUUUUGUGGUAAAAUUAGAUGCCUCGGCUUAUACUCGGGUAUAUAUGGUAUAUUGUGCAAUACGGGACGAGUGCCUUCGGUUGGCUAAUCCUCUCUUUUCUUGAACACCACGUCUCUCUUUCCGCCACUUCUUCUCCUCCUCCCUUCCUUUUACUUUCUGCACUGCUCCUGAUUUCUAUUCAGCCCAAAAGAAGAGGAAAUUUAAAUUAAGAUGCUAAAAUCCCGAGCUGUAAUUUCUACGGUUUUCGAUUAGCAUAUCGCAACUUGCUCCAGGAAUGCUGGGUGCUGGUCGGCCGAGAGAACAAGAUUGUGAAAAGACCAUCCAUUGAAAGGAAAAAUUUUCAUUUCUUCAGGGUCCCAUUCGUGAGCCAGAGCCAGGUCUUCUCCUUAUCAGCUUUUCCUUCAAUUUUGUCAAGGAACCUUCCAUGCAAUGUUUUGUUGUGCCAGAUGUCAGCUCUAGUUUGUAGUGCGGUUUUCUUGUACUGGUUUUUGUCUGCUGUGCUUUGCGGAGUUUCUGAUUUUUGACUUCAAUCCAAGCAGGUUCUUCACUUUGCUUUACAUAUUCUGCCAGGGCAUGUUCUUCUUCUUUGACUGCUUGUUUGACUUGUAAGAGUCCUCUGCCACCAGAUCUUCGAGGCAGAUAUAGACGGUCAACAUCACUGCGAGGGUGCAGUGAAUGAUGAAUGGUUAUUAUUAUUAUUAUUAUUAUUAUUAUUAUUAUUAUUAUUACUACUACUACUAUUUAUUAGAGUUGUGCAUGGAACCAUUUUCUUUCAUUUCAUCAAUUCUUUCAUUACUUUCAUUACCUUCGGGAGCAUGUGAAGAUGAAAAUCAGCUCAACACGAAAGUUAUCACUACUAUUACUACUACUACUAUUUAUUAGAGUUGUGCAUGGAACCGUUUUCCUUCGUUUCAUCUGUUCAUUACUCUCAUUAUCUUCAGGAGCACGUAACGGGAAGACCCCUCCCGGUAUGAAAAUCAACUCAACACGAAAGCAAGCGAGAGCCGAACCCAGCUCCUCACCUGCUUUUCGUGAGCAGCCUCCUUGCCUUGGAGAGAGAGUGUGUGUGUGGCGUGCAGGCCCAUAAAGCACACACAGCGCGCCUGCCUGCAGCUGAGCACCUACCCUAGAAGUAAGAAUUAGAAUUUGCCUCAAUGCCUUGGAAAAAGAAUGUGGGCAUGUAGGGCGUACAGGCCCUGAAAGUGCACAUGCCUACCUGCAGCCGAGCACCUCUCAUCUAGAGUGAAAACAGUUCUCAAGACAGGCUUUCCUCUUACCUGGAAAUAUGUGAGAGUCGCAAAUGGAAUAAUGGCACCCUCUAUCGGCUUCUCUUGAAAUGACAAGAGAGGGCGGGGAAUUCGUAGCAAGUUUCUGUUCUUUCUUCAGACAUACAAUAGAAAACCAGAAGAGAUUUCACAUGAAUAUAGGUAGUUCCAUUCCCAACAUGUCAACUUGGAAAUAAUAAUAAACCUUAUUUGUAUCCUGCA